rnacentral:lncRNA from 1 species
GUUAGGAUUUUAAGUUGUGAACUUUAAUGAUCGAUGCUUUCCAAAAUUCGAACAACAUUCUUCCAAACACAUAUAGAAAAAUAUUAAAUAGACCCGAACCCGUCCCGUUUGUAGGAUAUUCGUGAUGAAGAAUUCGUCCUGUUCGAAUUUUACAGACCCGGACUAACUUUUACCCUUAGCCAUACCCGCCCGUCUCGCGCGAUCUUCAAAAAUAGGCGGAUCCGGGACGACCCCGAACAUCCUUGACACGAACAACCUGAUUCAAAUAUCAAUGAUGUUCGUUCGAUGAAAAAUUUGUUGAUCGAUGAGGAGCAUGUUAGUAAAGAUAAUUGUAAUAAUGACAAAGAUAUCUAUAUAUUAUGCAACUUGUGAUGAGGAUGAACCAGGUUCUAAGAGGAUGUGGUUGAAAUGAUAUUGGUAAAAAUGAUGUUCAAGGUGAAGAUUUAGAUGUAGAAUUUGGUGGAUGAUGAUAAAUUUGAUGGCGAGAAAAAGAAGAAUUU